CCUACGGGAGGCAGCAGUGGGGAAUAUUGCACAAUGGGGGAAACCCUGAUGCAGCGACGCCGCGUGAGCGAUGAAGUAUUUCGGUAUGUAAAGCUCUAUCAGCAGGGAAGAAAAUGACGGUACCUGACUAAGAAGCCCCGGCUAACUACGUGCCAGCAGCCGCGGUAAUACGUAGGGGGCAAGCGUUAUCCGGAUUUACUGGGUGUAAAGGGAGCGUAGACGGUCGUGCAAGCCAGAUGUGAAAGCCCGGGGCUCAACCCCGGGACUGCAUUUGGAACUGUAAGGCUAGAGUGUCGGAGAGGCAGGCGGAAUUCCUAGUGUAGCGGUGAAAUGCGUAGAUAUGAGGAGGAACACCAGUGGCGAAGGCGGCUUGCUGGACGAUGACUGACGUUGAGGCUCGAAAGCGUGGGGAGCAAACAGGAUUAGAUACCCCAGUAGUC
rnacentral:rRNA from 1 species